AUGUACAUUCCUACAACAUAGCAUUAAUUUAAAAUAUCCUAUUAGAACUCCAUAGUUAAGUGUGCUCAGGCUAGAGUAGUACUAGGAUGGGUGUCUACCCAAGAAGUCCUAGUGUUUUACAUG
rnacentral:rRNA from 1 species